rnacentral:lncRNA from 1 species
ACGCUUGUGAGAGUUGUAACGUUGUAAAAACCCUGUGUAAUUGCUCUUGUACAGUGAAAAGCUUCUUUAUCCACAUUUAUCUGUAUGGAGUGCAAGUACUAAGAGACUUGGCCCAUAAUAUUUACCUCUGAUAUCAUAUUAAAAUGGGAGGAAAAAAAGAAAGAGAGAGCGAGAUAGAGAGAAAAUGCUGCAUAUUUUUGUGUGCUUCUAAUGUGUACAAAUGGGGAGAGGAUUAGCUGUCCCCAAUCUCCUGUCGC